AGGCCUAAUUGCCCAAAGAACUACUGGAGUCUGGAAGUCACAAGGAGCCGCUUCCCUCUUCAGACUUCGCUCUAGUCGCCGCAUGCCGCUGGUAGCUGCUUCCCUCUAGUCGCCGCUAUUAGCCGGUGCCCUCUUCCCUCUAGUCGCCGCUGUUAGCCGGUGCCCUCUUCCCUCUAGUCUUCUUCAUCCUCAGCCUCAAAGAUCAAAGAUUCGAUAAUGUAAUCUUAAAUCUUAAUCUCUCAAGCUCUCAUCUUCCUCAAAUUUUCAGACUUUGGUUUCCUUCGUAAUAGACUCUCUCUGGUUCUGAUAAUAUCAAAGAAGCCAUUACUGGUUCUGAUAUAAGUUCCCUCACCCCCCAGUAUGCUUAUACCUGCUUCCUAUCUGGGUGGAAAUUGGUGAAGAAAACAAAGAAGAGGAAAAGAAGGAAGAGGAGAAGAAAGAGGAAGGAUGCACAGAAGCAGAGAAAAAGAAAGAACAGGAUGAGAAGAAGGCAGAAGAGCCUCAAGAGAUCGUCCUCAAAGUUUACAUGCAUUAGGAUUUGAAGGGGUUGAGGAAGUGGUGACAGACAACAAGUGUGAUAAGGUGGUACUGUGAUAGUGGAGGGUAAGACAGCUGCCCUUCUUAAAUUGAAUGGGGAAUGUGGAAUAUUGUUGUAGAUUGUAAGGUGAAUAAUGAAAGUAAGUUUUUUCUUUCAUUGUAUACCAGUGAAUCAAAAAUACAAUUACAGGUAUGUAAUGUUCUUGAAUCAUUUAAUUGUUAAAAAGAGUGUAAUUAUUGUAAUUUAGAUUACAUUUUAUAGACAUGAUUCCCUUGGAUA